GGUUAAGCGACUAAGCGUACACGGUGGAUGCCCUGGCAGUCAGAGGCGAUGAAGGACGUGCUAAUCUGCGAUAAGCGUCGGUAAGGUGAUAUGAACCGUUAUAACCGGCGAUUUCCGAAUGGGGAAACCCAGUGUGUUUCGACACACUAUCAUUAACUGAAUCCAUAGGUUAAUGAGGCGAACCGGGGGAACUGAAACAUCUAAGUACCCCGAGGAAAAGAAAUCAACCGAGAUUCCCCCAGUAGCGGCGAGCGAACGGGGAGCAGCCCAGAGCCUGAAUCAGUGUGUGUGUUAGUGGAAGCGUCUGGAAAGGCGCGCGAUACAGGGUGACAGCCCCGUACACAAAAAUGCACAUGCUGUGAGCUCGAUGAGUAGGGCGGGACACGUGGUAUCCUGUCUGAAUAUGGGGGGACCAUCCUCCAAGGCUAAAUACUCCUGACUGACCGAUAGUGAACCAGUACCGUGAGGGAAAGGCGAAAAGAACCCCGGCGAGGGGAGUGAAAAAGAACCUGAAACCGUGUACGUACAAGCAGUGGGAGCCUCUUUAUGGGGUGACUGCGUACCUUUUGUAUAAUGGGUCAGCGACUUAUAUUCUGUAGCAAGGUUAACCGAAUAGGGGAGCCGAAGGGAAACCGAGUCUUAACUGGGCGUUAAGUUGCAGGGUAUAGACCCGAAACCCGGUGAUCUAGCCAUGGGCAGGUUGAAGGUUGGGUAACACUAACUGGAGGACCGAACCGACUAAUGUUGAAAAAUUAGCGGAUGACUUGUGGCUGGGGGUGAAAGGCCAAUCAAACCGGGAGAUAGCUGGUUCUCCCCGAAAGCUAUUUAGGUAGCGCCUCGUGAAUUCAUCUCCGGGGGUAGAGCACUGUUUCGGCAAGGGGGUCAUCCCGACUUACCAACCCGAUGCAAACUGCGAAUACCGGAGAAUGUUAUCACGGGAGACACACGGCGGGUGCUAACGUCCGUCGUGAAGAGGGAAACAACCCAGACCGCCAGCUAAGGUCCCAAAGUCAUGGUUAAGUGGGAAACGAUGUGGGAAGGCCCAGACAGCCAGGAUGUUGGCUUAGAAGCAGCCAUCAUUUAAAGAAAGCGUAAUAGCUCACUGGUCGAGUCGGCCUGCGCGGAAGAUGUAACGGGGCUAAACCAUGCACCGAAGCUGCGGCAGCGACGCUUAUGCGUUGUUGGGUAGGGGAGCGUUCUGUAAGCCUGUGAAGGUGUGCUGUGAGGCAUGCUGGAGGUAUCAGAAGUGCGAAUGCUGACAUAAGUAACGAUAAAGCGGGUGAAAAGCCCGCUCGCCGGAAGACCAAGGGUUCCUGUCCAACGUUAAUCGGGGCAGGGUGAGUCGACCCCUAAGGCGAGGCCGAAAGGCGUAGUCGAUGGGAAACAGGUUAAUAUUCCUGUACUUGGUGUUACUGCGAAGGGGGGACGGAGAAGGCUAUGUUGGCCGGGCGACGGUUGUCCCGGUUUAAGCGUGUAGGCUGAUUUUCCAGGCAAAUCCGGAAAAUCAAGGCUGAGGCGUGAUGACGAGGCACUACGGUGCUGAAGCAACAAAUGCCCUGCUUCCAGGAAAAGCCUCUAAGCAUCAGGUAACAUCAAAUCGUACCCCAAACCGACACAGGUGGUCAGGUAGAGAAUACCAAGGCGCUUGAGAGAACUCGGGUGAAGGAACUAGGCAAAAUGGUGCCGUAACUUCGGGAGAAGGCACGCUGAUAUGUAGGUGAAGUCCCUCGCGGAUGGAGCUGAAAUCAGUCGAAGAUACCAGCUGGCUGCAACUGUUUAUUAAAAACACAGCACUGUGCAAACACGAAAGUGGACGUAUACGGUGUGACGCCUGCCCGGUGCCGGAAGGUUAAUUGAUGGGGUCAGCGCAAGCGAAGCUCUUGAUCGAAGCCCCGGUAAACGGCGGCCGUAACUAUAACGGUCCUAAGGUAGCGAAAUUCCUUGUCGGGUAAGUUCCGACCUGCACGAAUGGCGUAAUGAUGGCCAGGCUGUCUCCACCCGAGACUCAGUGAAAUUGAACUCGCUGUGAAGAUGCAGUGUACCCGCGGCAAGACGGAAAGACCCCGUGAACCUUUACUAUAGCUUGACACUGAACAUUGAGCCUUGAUGUGUAGGAUAGGUGGGAGGCUUAGAAGUGUGGACGCCAGUCUGCAUGGAGCCGGCCUUGAAAUACCACCCUUUAAUGUUUGAUGUUCUAACGUGGACCCGUAAUCCGGGUUGCGGACAGUGUCUGGUGGGUAAGUUUGACUGGGGCGGUCUCCUCCUAAAGAGUAACGGAGGAGCACGAAGGUUGGCUAAUCCUGGUCGGACAUCAGGAGGUUAGUGCAAUGGCAUAAGCCAGCUUGACUGCGAGCGUGACGGCGCGAGCAGGUGCGAAAGCAGGUCAUAGUGAUCCGGUGGUUCUGAAUGGAAGGGCCAUCGCUCAACGGAUAAAAGGUACUCCGGGGAUAACAGGCUGAUACCGCCCAAGAGUUCAUAUCGACGGCGGUGUUUGGCACCUCGAUGUCGGCUCAUCACAUCCUGGGGCUGAAGUAGGUCCCAAGGGUAUGGCUGUUCGCCAUUUAAAGUGGUACGCGAGCUGGGUUUAGAACGUCGUGAGACAGUUCGGUCCCUAUCUGCCGUGGGCGCUGGAGAACUGAGGGGGGCUGCUCCUAGUACGAGAGGACCGGAGUGGACGCAUCACUGGUGUUCGGGUUGUCAUGCCAAUGGCACUGCCCGGUAGCUAAAUGCGGAAGAGAUAAGUGCUGAAAGCAUCUAAGCACGAAACUUGCCCCGAGAUGAGUUCUCCCUGACUCCUUGAGAGUCCUGAAGGAACGUUGAAGACGACGACGUUGAUAGGCCGGGUGUGUAAGCGCAGCGAUGCGUUGAGCUAACCGGUACUAAUGAACCGUGAGGCUUAACCUU
rnacentral:rRNA from 1 species